AUGCGCGAGCCCGUCUACCGUGGCGUGCGCGCCUGCCCGCGUCCCGGCCGCGGCUGUCCAGCGCGUUCGUGCCCUCGACGUGUUCGAGGAAAUGCCCCACCGGAGAAUCUGCGCCGGGUCCACGCGCGGGUGGUGGCCCUAGCAAGCGCAGCCAUCAACGUCGGCGAUCUCCAUCCCAGCGUCCCGUCGAGUGGUGGAGGAUCGAUGUCGUGGGCUCAUCCUGCCGCGGGGCUCCCCUGGCCCUGGGCCCUGGCGGCUCACCCUCGCUGGUCUGCAGCACGCGGUCAGUCAUACAAUAAAAGUGCGACUGUGGAGCCAAGACUUGAUCAAGGACUUCCAUAG
rnacentral:rRNA from 1 species